rnacentral:rRNA from 1 species
UACGUAGGGGGCAAGCGUUGUCCGGAAUUAUUGGGCGUAAAGAGCGCGUAGGCGGUCCGAUAAGUCGGCUGUGAAAGUCAGGGGCUCAACCCUUGGAAGCCGGCCGAUACGUGUCGGACUAGAGUCCGGAAGAGGCAAGUGGAAUUCCCGGUGUAGCGGUGAAAUGCGCAGAUAUCGGGAGGAACACCAAUGGCGAAGGCAGCUUGCUGGGACGGUACUGACGCUGAGGCGCGAAAGCGAUGGGGAGCGAACGGAGGA